GACGAACGCUGGCGGCGUGCUUAACACAUGCAAGUCGAACGGAAAGGCCCUGCUUUUGUGGGGUGCUCGAGUGGCGAACGGGUGAGUAACACGUGAGUAACCUGCCCUUGACUUUGGGAUAACGUCAGGAAACUGGGGCUAAUACCGGAUAGGAGCUCCUGCUGCACGGUGGGGGUUGGAAAGUUUCGGCGGUUGGGGAUGGACUCGCGGCUUAUCAGCUUGUUGGUGGGGUAGUGGCUUACCAAGGCUUUGACGGGUAGCCGGCCUGAGAGGGUGACCGGCCACAUUGGGACUGGGAUACGGCCCAGACUCCUACGGGAGGCAGCAGUGGGGAAUAUUGCACAAUGGGCGGAAGCCUGAUGCAGCAACGCCGCGUGCGGGAUGACGGCCUUCGGGUUGUAAACCGCUUUCGCCUGUGACGAAGCGUGAGUGACGGUAAUGGGUAAAGAAGCACCGGCUAACUACGUG
rnacentral:rRNA from 1 species